CUUUCUCCACUUUUUUCCUCAUGUGGCAGUGCAAUGAAAUAGUCUUUCCGAUCAUAAAAGAGGAUACAUAUGUAUGCAACGUCAAGAAUAAUGAUCUUAUUUCUGUUUUCUCAAAAAAGUAGAGAAUAAUACUUCUUAUCAAGAGUACGGUGCCGGCUAUUUUAGAAAUUCGAAUUAUUACAGAAAUGCGUGAUUUGAUAAUCAAAUACUCCGACAAUUUUAUCAAGAUGACAAUUGAUUGCAACAAAAGAGCACUUCAUUGCACAUACAUCUACAUAAUUCAUUACAAACUUGAAAGGGAAGAUGGAAACCUGAGACGGGGCUGUCUCCAUUCCUUGUUUGUCGCUCAAAAGACACACAGUACCUUAAACCAAACGGUUCUCCCGUUGCUUUUAUGGUUUUAUACCUUAAAAUGCAUCUUACAGUAACAUUCUUUAUUCGUUAAGUAAUCGACUUCACUUGCUUAUUUACUCUUUAACUAGGACGGUGUUCACGAAAAGUGCUUCGUAUUGUGAUGCGAUUUGGUUGCCAUGAGCGGCUUAAUUUAGCUCCCCGGUCUCAUGGCCCUCUAGGGCUAACUGGCGGAGAGCAUCCUGUCCUCUCAUAGGGAGAGCAUGGCAGAUCGGAAGAGCAAACG